AUGUACCAGUUGAGUACUGGGGUUGAUGUAAUUGAUUUAACCCCUUUUUCUGAAAUUACUGGCCUUGUGCCAAAAUCCAAUACCAUUAUUAUUUUGUGUGUGUGUUUUUUUUCUCUCUCUCUCUCUCUCUCCUCUGGUUUCUCUAAAAGAUGAAUUCCAAAUCAGUGGCUCCAAAUCAUUAUGUUGUCUUUCCUUCUCUUUUUUUCUCUCUCUCUCCCUAACUCUCUCUCUUUUUAUUCUCUUUUCUUUCUCUUCUCACAAUCAUUAACUUCAGUUCUGCAUUGUCAUAAAUCUGUGAUAACUCUAAAUAUUUGCAUUGACGCAAAUGAACUCUUAAUAAUGUUUGCUACACAACUGAAGUAGUGCUUACUUCUUCUACCGGCUUGUUUUAUAUAUAUAUAUAUAUAUAUAUAUAUAUAUAUAUAUAUAUAUAUAUAUACACAUAUAUAUAUGAAAAAUCAGUUGUGUGGUGUUUCUGCUGUCUCUACACACCAUCUUUGAGGCAGUGUUGGAAUAAAUAUAUAUAUUAAAAAAAAAAUUUGAAAAUAAAUAUAUUGUAAUAAAUACAAUUCAUAAUAAAGAACAACUCAAAUAAAAAAGAUAUUUAAAAAAAAAAAUGUCUUUGUUUGGAAUACAAACAGAAUCUUUAAUUGUCUGUCUAUUCAUUCAUUAAACAUAUCUUAAUUAA